GGUAAUGAUUUUAGGAUCUAGAGUUUGUGAAUGCGUGCUCUAGAAAAAACAUUCCUGUGCACAUUGUUAGAGCUUGGAGUUGAGGCUACUGACUGGCCGAUGAACUCGCAAGUGUAGGUAGUGUGCUACAUGAGGGGCAAGUUUUCGCUAACACCACAAGGGUCUCUGGCCCAAUGAGUGGAGUUUGAUAGUAAUUCUUGCUACAAGUAUAACAUUACUGC
rnacentral:lncRNA from 1 species